rnacentral:rRNA from 1 species
UUGGAGGGCAAGUCUGGUGCCAGCAGCCGCGGUAAUUCCAGCUCCAAUAGCGUAUAUUAAAGUUGUUGCAGUUAAAAAGCUCGUAGUUGAAUUUCGGGAUCAAAUUGUCGGUCGUGCCUCGGUACGCACUGGUAUUAUUGGUUCCUACCUUCUGAAGAACCGCGAUGUCAUUAAUUUGGUGUCGUGGGGAAUCAGGACUGUUACUUUGAAAAAAUUAGAGUGUUUAAAGCAGGCUUACGCUUGAAUACAUUAGCAUGGAAUAAUGAAAUAGGACGUUUGAUUCUAUUUUGUUGGUUUCUAGGAUCACCGUAAUGAUUAAUAGGGAUAGUUGGGGGCAUUAGUAUUCAAUUGUCAGAGGUGAAAUUCUUGGAUUUAUUGAAGACUAACUACUGCGAAAGCAUUUGCCAAGGAUGUUUUCAUUAAUCAAGAACGAAAGUUAGGGGAUCGAAGACGAUCAGAUACCGUCGUAGUCUUAACCAUAAACUAUGCCGACUAGGGAUCGGACGAAGUUAAUUUUAUAAUGACGCGUUCGGCGCCUUACGGGAAAC